UACGAAGGGGGCUAGCGUUGCUCGGAAUCACUGGGCGUAAAGGGUGCGUAGGCGGGUUUUUAAGUCAGGGGUGAAAUCCUGGAGCUCAACUCCAGAACUGCCUUUGAUACUGAAAAUCUUGAGUCCGGGAGAGGUGAGUGGAACUGCGAGUGUAGAGGUGAAAUUCGUAGAUAUUCGCAAGAACACCAGUGGCGAAGGCGGCUCACUGGCCCGGUACUGACGCCGAGGCACGAAAGCGUGGGGAGCAAACAGG
rnacentral:rRNA from 1 species